rnacentral:rRNA from 1 species
UACGGGGGGGGGCAAGCGUUGUUCGGAAUUACUGGGCGUAAAGGGCUCGUAGGCGGCCAACUAAGUCAGACGUGAAAUCCCUCGGCUUAACCGGGGAACUGCGUCUGAUACUGGAUGGCUUGAGUUUGGGAGAGGGAUGCGGAAUUCCAGGUGUAGCGGUGAAAUGCGUAGAUAUCUGGAGGAACACCGGUGGCGAAGGCGGCAUCCUGGACCGGCAUUGACGCUGAGGCGCGAAAGCCAGGGGAGCAAAGCGGGG